GAUUUUGUGGAAAGGGACAUUUCAAGUCUGCUUCGUCUGCUUCUUUGGUCUGACUUGGUGACAACCAAUUGGAUUGGUUUUUGUCAGGCUUGCUUCUUAAAGGUGUCACCGAAGCAGUAGAAGAAGCAGCAGAAGCAGCAGCCAUUGUGCGCAAGGAAAUUCAAGAUGAGACUGAUAGAAUGACAGGGAGAUCUAAACAAAUAUCUCCAAUUCCUAUUCAUCUCAGCAAAUAUUCUCCAAAUGGUGCU